CCAAGAUAUGAAAAUGUCUGUUCACUUCCUUCAUUGGUGUUGGUUGGAGAAUCUGACUGGAUUGGCUUCUUGCAGAUCGGACUUUGUGGCAGAUUGGAUUUGAGAGAAGGCCAUGAGCCGGGCCUUUGUCUUUGACCUGGUAGCUGGAGAGAACUGACUUAGCAGCUUACAGGUGAAUCUCCUGGGGAAAAUUCGGAGUGGAGUUUGAUGGUACCUGCGGGCAAGGCUUUGAGACCGGCCCCUCUGCUUGGAGCUUGCAGCCAGAGAACUGAGUGAGCAACUUAGAAUAGUCUCCUGGAAAGUCUGAUGCAGCUGCACUAGCACUUCAGGGGCAGCGAAGAUCAGAGGCAGGGCUUGCAGCCAGAGACCUGAGUGAGCAGCCCACAGAGCACUUGGCUGAGGGAAAGUCCGACUGGAGCUCGACCAAGCGCUUCCCUUUACCCCGUCCUCCGAGAAGACUCAGACCUGUCCCACUUGGAGCUAUAAAGCCUGGACCCACACGGAGCUCCACUCAAUUGUAAAAGGUUUUCCAGAGCCCCAGGAAAACCCUACCAAAUUUGCAGAGGAAUUUUUGCUAGUGUGCAAUGCCUAUGAAUCCUCUGAAGCAGACCUCCUGCAACUGCGUAAGCUACUUAUAACCCCUAGCGAGCAAGAAAAAAAAAUGGCUCCUGAUAGCAAAUUGGCCCACCACUGAGCGUCCUUCUAAUUUGCCAGACACUGGUCCUGACGCUGCCUACUGGAACAAAUGUAAGAAUCAAGUUGCCUUUCACCAUUGUAUAACAAGGUCUGUAAUUAACUUGGAAACAAUGUAACAAGGGUUGUCUAAAUUCUCUAUCACUAGUAAAUCAAGAUUGGAAAUUUUUCUAAAAGAUGCUGUAAAUCAAGCUAAGCCCCUGCAUGAGGCCAUUCCCCAAGUAUGGACUCCAAAAAAAAUCAACGGGACGGCCAUACGUUGCUGUAAACGGCAACAGA